rnacentral:rRNA from 1 species
ACUGCUCAGUAACACAUGGAUAACCUGCCCUAAGGUGGAGCAUAACCCCGGGAAACUGGGGAUAAUACUCCAUAGGUUAUGGAUGCUGGAAUGCUUCAUAACCCAAAGCUCCGGCGCCUUAGGAUGGAUCUGCGGUCGAUUAGGUUGUUGUUGGGGUAACGGCCCAACAAGCCUGUAAUCGAUACGGGUUGUGGGAGCAAGAGCCCGGAGAUGGAAUCUGAGACACGAUUCCAGGCCCUACGGGGCGCAGCAGGCGCGAAAACUUUACAAUGCGGGAAACUGUGAUAAGGGAACCCCGAGUGCCCGUAUACGCGGGCUGUCCAGGUGUGUAAAAAGCACCUGAAGAAAGGGCCGGGCAAGACCGGUGCCAGCCGCCGCGGUAAUACCGGCGGCUCGAGUGGUGGCCACUUUUAUUGGGCUUAAAGCGUCCGUAGCUGGACCCCUAAGUCCCUUGGGAAAUCUCUUGGCUUAACCAAGAGGCGUCUAAGAGAUACUGGGAGUCUAGGGACCGGGAGAGGUGAGAGGUACUCCGGGGGUAGGAGUGAAAUCCUGUAAUCCCCGGGGGACCACCUGUGGCGAAGGCGUCUCACCAGAACGGCUCCGACAGUGAGGGACGAAAGCUGGGGGAGCGAACCGGAUUAGAUACCCGGGUAGUCCCAGCCGUAAACGAUGCGCGUUAGGUGUACUGGUGACCACGAGUCACCGGGGUGCCGAAGGGAAACCGUGAAACGUGCCGCCUGGGAAGUACGGUCGCAAGGCUGAAACUUAAAGGAAUUGGCGGGGGAGCACCACAACGGGUGGAGCCUGCGGUUUAAUUGGAGUCAACGCCGGA